UUUGUACCUUUGCUACAACUAUCUUCAACCCCUGCAAUUCCUUAUCCCCCCUUCUGCUUAGAGCUAUGUGAGAUCCAAAUUUCCAGGUACUCCAUAAAAAUGGCCAAAGUUCUACACUACUAAAGCAACAAGAGCAAGGGCACUUCCCAAUUAUCCCCAACUUCGUUUCUAGCUCUUUUUGGUGUGAUUUGAUGGUGCUUUGGAGGGUGGAGGUGUUCGUGUUGGAGAUGGUGUGGGUGAUGCUCAGCGGCUGGCUCUCCUCCUGCCUCGCCGUCGCCGACUACGUCGCCACGGCGCUCAGGCAGAGUGGUGACGACGUCUCCGGCUAGAAUUUCUUUGGACGAACUGGAUAUAAAUCAUCUUCCAUGCCUGCAUUUGUUGUUUGGUUUCUUUGUGUGUUUGUGAGCAUUUAUACACAUUGCAAUUGUGUAUAUAUCCGAAUGUUAUUUUAAUUUUUUUUUGUACGACAUGAUUUGAGGCAAAUUAAAAUAGAUUGCAAUGGAUAUUUCUCAAAUUAUCUCAA